rnacentral:lncRNA from 1 species
CAAAAUAUAUACAAAUAACGCACUGAAAGGCCAAAAUAUGCAUGGGCAACCAUACAUGUAAACCUUAAAUUGGGUUCAUAGUACUUUUUGCAAAAACAUAUGUAAAUAAUAGAUAUACAAAACGAAGUAGCCAUUUGACAUGUAAACAUGAAAAGUCAACUAUACGAAAGCAACUUACGAUGAGACAUUGUGGUACAAAUGAUCAUCAUAGGAUUUAUCAAGUUUUUCAUAUGAAGCGAGCUUUUCAUCGCUAAGCUCGCAUUUUGCAUUCAAAAUCUUAGAAUUCUCAUGCUCCAUUAAUCGAAGUGACGGUCAAGAAAUUAAAGACAUCAAUGAUUACAAGGACAAACAAAACCAUUUGCACAUAUUUGAUGGAAAAAUGUAGCCAGAAAAGAGAAGGUGAAGACAAACAAUAAUAAAGAAUGUUUACAAAUAAAGAAAUGCUUACAGAAUGCUCGGACUGUAGUCAGAUUUUACAUAAGCCUGGAGACUAAAAUAGUGCACAUUUCUAGACUCAUUAUCCAGCCUAGCAAUAACCAAUCGGCUUUCUCAAAUUUGGUCUUUGUUAAGAACAUAUGAAAUGACUAUCUAUUUUGAAUUUUAAAAUAAAGGAACUAAAAACUACAGUGCUAAUUAGAUUAAGA